rnacentral:rRNA from 1 species
GACGAACGCUGGCGGCGUGCCUAAUACAUGCAAGUCGAGCGAAGCGGGGACGGGUGAGUAACACGUAAGGAACCUCCGAUAAGCGGGGGACAACAUCCGGAAACGGGUGCUAAAACGCAUAAUUAUCGCUGGCCUGCGGGCAGUAGCUCGUGGGUGGGGUAACGUCCUACCAGGCAAUGGUGCAUAGCCGACCGAGAGGGUAAUCGGCCACAGUGGCACUGAGACACGGCCCAAACUCCUACGGGAGGCAGCAGUAGGGAAUCUUCCGCAAUGGGCGCAAGCCUGACGGAGCAACGCCGCGUGAGUGAAGAAUGUUUUCGGAUCGUAAAGCUCUGUUGUAAGAGAAGCGGUAUCUUACCAGAAAGCCACGGCUAACUACGUGCCAGCCGCCGCGGUAAUAC